rnacentral:ncRNA from 2 species
UCGAAUAGAAGAGGUGCGGUCAACAUCAGUCGCUUUCCCAAGGUGGGUAUCACCGAGGCGGGAAAGUAAAAGGGGCGAUCGCCGAAACUUGGAAGUGACUACCUAACUUCCAGGUUGGGCCCUGGUUCAACAGAUCAGGGACUGUCGCAGCCAAAUAGGUUGCGGGGCGCUUUCAACGAU